UAGGGAAUCUUCCACAAUGGACGAAAGUCUGAUGGAGCAACGCCGCGUGAGUGAUGAAGGGUUUCGGCUCGUAAAACUCUGUUGUUGGAGAAGAACGGGUGUCAGAGUAACUGUUGACAUCGUGACGGUAUCCAACCAGAAAGCCACGGCUAACUACGUGCCAGCAGCCGCGGUAAUACGUAGGUGGCAAGCGUUGUCCGGAUUUAUUGGGCGUAAAGCGAGCGCAGGCGGUUUUUUAGGUCUGAUGUGAAAGCCUUCGGCUUAACCGGAGAAGUGCAUCGGAAACCGGGAGACUUGAGUGCAGAAGAGGACAGUGGAACUCCAUGUGUAGCGGUGAAAUGCGUAGAUAUAUGGAAGAACACCAGUGGCGAAGGCGGCUGUCUGGUCUGCAACUGACGCUGAGGCUCGAAAGCAUGGGUAGCGAACAGGAUUAGAUACCCUGGUAGUCCAUGCCGUAAACGAUGAGUGCUAAGU
rnacentral:rRNA from 1 species